rnacentral:rRNA from 1 species
UGGGGAAUAUUGCACAAUGGGCGCAAGCCUGAUGCAGCAACGCCGCGUGAGGGAUGACGGCCUUCGGGUUGUAAACCUCUUUUAGUAGGGAAGAAGCGAAAGUGACGGUACCUGCAGAAAAAGCACCGGCUAACUACGUGCCAGCAGCCGCGGUAAUACGUAGGGUGCGAGCGUUGUCCGGAAUUAUUGGGCGUAAAGAGCUCGUAGGCGGUCUGUCGCGUCUGCUGUGAAAACCCGAGGCUCAGCCUCGGGCCUGCAGUGGGUACGGGCAGACUAGAGUGCGGUAGGGGAGAAUGGAAUUCCUGGUGUAGCGGUGGAAUGCGCAGAUAUCAGGAGGAACACCGAUGGCGAAGGCAGUUCUCUGGGCCGUAACUGACGCUGAGGAGCGAAAGCGUGGGGAGCGAACAGGAUUAGAUACCCUGGUAGUCCACGCCGUAAACGUUGGGCGCUAGAUGUGGGGACCAUUCCACGGUUUCCGUGUCGCAGCUAACGCAUUAAGCGCCCCGCCUGGGGAGUACGGCCGCAAGGCUAAAACUU